UACGGGGGGGGUAAGCGUUGUUCGGAAUUACUGGGCGUAAAGGGCUCGUAGGCGGCCAACUAAGUCAGACGUGAAAUCCCGCAGCUUAACUGGGGAACUGCGUCUGAUACUGGAUGGCUUGGAUUUGGGAGAGGGAUGCGGAAUUCCAGGUGUAGCGGUGAAAUUCGUAGAUAUCGGGAGGAACACCGGUGGCGAAGGCGGCGACCUGGGUAGAUACUGACGCUGAGGCGCGAAAGCGUGGGGAGCAAACAGG
rnacentral:rRNA from 1 species